rnacentral:rRNA from 1 species
GACGAACGCUGGCGGCGUGCUUAACACAUGCAAGUCGAACGGAAAGGCCCUGCUUUUGUGGGGUGCUCGAGUGGCGAACGGGUGAGUAACACGUGAGUAACCUGCCCUUGACUUUGGGAUAACUUCAGGAAACUGGGGCUAAUACCGGAUAGGAGCUCCUGCUGCAUGGUGGGGGUUGGAAAGUUUCGGCGGUUGGGGAUGGACUCGCGGCUUAUCAGCUUGUUGGUGGGGUAGUGGCUUACCAAGGCUUUGACGGGUAGCCGGCCUGAGAGGGUGACCGGCCACAUGGGGACUGAGAUACGGCCCAGACUCCUACGGGAGGCAGCAGUGGGGAAUAUUGCACAAGGGGCGGAAGCCUGAUGCAGCAACGCCGCGUGCGGGAUGACGGCCUUCGGGUUGUAACCGCUUUCGCCUGUGACGAAGCGUGAGUGACGGUAAUGGGUAAAGAAGCACCGGCUAACUACGUG